GUACAAAACUAACCACGCUGCAUUUUGGUCCGCCUCUCUUUCACCAGAAGAAAACCGUUACACUAUUGGAGUUGUGGGAGAAAUUAGGUACAUAUAUGGAUAAAUAUACUGUCCUAUAUAAAAGAGGGAUGCAUUUGCCAUUCUGGUAAGGUACAUUGUCUAUUGUAUAGGACAGGAAGCCAGAGUGGGGCCAUGGGAGAGGGCAACACAUAGACGCCUAGGGCAGCUGGACAUACAAAGGUCAGAGGUUGUCUAAGGAGGGGGUCAGCCAAAGGACCAAUUGAUGGAUUACAGACAUCAAUCACAUCACAGGAGACAAGUCUGUUUGAUCUUAGACAACCAUAUGAAGAGAAGGCGACCAGAACAGCUAGGCACCCUAAAGCUAAAGGAGAUGAAAGACACCGAAAGGGACACAUGGAGUUAAUUACAGGGUAUGAACACAGGCCACAGGAAAGGGGAAUGUAUAGUAUUUUUAGUAUAGCUGAGCAUGCUAAAAACAGAAGAGACACAUAGUCUGCUGACCCUAGAUAACACACAAACAGGAGAACGCAUUAAGCUGAGUGAAGGGUCAAAGCAAGGGUCUUGUCACCAUUAGGAUCUAAUGGAAAGCAGAUGAGGGCGUUAUUGGGCUGAACAAGCAGGAAGCACGGAUUGGGAUGUAACUUAAUUUGCAUAUGGGAGGGACUUAUAUGGUAGGUGUAUAACUCAGAGCGAGGGCUCUGAAAAAGUGUGUGUGUUCCGCGGACCGCUCCGGCUUAUGAUACUGUUGUAUUAAAAGUCUAUAUUGAUUUUCACAAAGUUCUUGGUUGUGUCAUAUUUGAACCGAUUUGCCACUACAGACUUGGCGAGCUUGCCAGGAGAAUUAGGGACUGAAUAACGUUCUUGGCUGGCAGCGGGAUCUUUGGACGAUCUGGGCAAACAAGCUAAGGUAAGACAACAGUGAAAUGUUUGCGUAGAUCGCUUCAGAGAUCCUGCCUCAGCAAGAGGAGCGUCAAGUAGGUCUCUCUCUCUCAAAUUUCCUAAAAACUAUAGAAACUAAAGAACUUUUUGAAAUUCAAUGAAUUUGCAUGCAUGUGUGUAAGCUUGGAAAUUGUAUAAUGAAUGUGCAUGCAUGUCUAGUGAGUAAGUAGGUGGGGGCUGUGAACUUCGCUGGGCUACAGCUACCUGCUUAUAAGGUUUGAA